CCAACGAAACUGUGUAUGGAGUUAGAACGUUUGCAUACGUUUACCGCUAGAGGCGUUUUUCCAAUUGCAUACACAUUUUAGUUA
rnacentral:pre_miRNA from 1 species